GGGAAACGAGAAAAACAGAACUUUAUGGAAUUUAGCUUGGAUAAUCCUUUUGAACCAUUUGUUAAUGAUUUCAAGACGUGAUAAUUGUCCAUUAAAAUUGGAUUUUUCUUGGGACCAUUGUAUAUCUAUGUCCUGUGAUCUAUUUGUCGAAAGGUCUUUUUUCCCUCCUCUCUACUGGUUGGAGUUGCAGAGUGUAAGGAAGUUUGUUGAAGGUUUUGGAGCACAUGAGCGGUGGAAUUGAGCCAGCAAGCUGUCAUGCGCAAUGUCUUGGUAGCAUGUGCUGGCUGGAAUUUAGAGGGGACUAUUUUUGCUUCUUUUGUGGUUAAGGAUGGAAUUCUAUGAGAUUACUUGAAAU
rnacentral:misc_RNA from 1 species